UGCCCUGGCAACAACUGGUCACCUAGGGACUCCACAACAAGCUGGCUCCCAAACCCCCUAGAAGCUCAUUUGGAGGUUGGCUGCCGUCUCUGUCAAUAACUAAUCAGUUCUUUGUGAGUCUCAUCUAAUUCCUCAACCCAGCUGGUCCCGUGUACAAGGAACUGAACACCCUUGGGAAGAUGGAAAGCAUGACAGUGCUUCCAUGAAAUUCAGUGUCUUCAUGAAAUCUCAGGUAAUGAUUAGAAAUAGUUACCAUAUAUCAUCUCACACCAGUCAGAAUGACCAAACUGAACAACAAUAAAGAGGAAACAAUGAAUGUUGGUGGGGAUGUGGAGAAAAGGGAACCCUCUUGCACCGUUGGUUGAAUGCAAAGUGGCAUAGACGCUCUGGAAAACAAUAUGGAGGCUCCUCAAGAGGUUAAACAUAGAGCUACCCUACAAACUAGCCAUUGCACUACUA
rnacentral:lncRNA from 1 species